rnacentral:rRNA from 1 species
GAUGAACGCUAGCGGCAGGCUUAACACAUGCAAGUCGAGGGGCAGCGAGGGUAGCAAUACCUGUCGGCGACCGGCAAACGGGUGCGGAACACGUACACAAUCUGCCUCUGUCUGGGGCAUAGCCCGAAGAAAUUCGGAUUAAUUCCCCAUAAGAUAUUAAGGUGGCAUCACCUAUAUAUUAAAGAAAUUCGGACAGAGAUGAGUGUGCGUCCCAUUAGCUAGUUAGUAGGGUAACGGCCUACCAAGGCGACGAUGGGUAGCUGGUGUGAGAGCACGACCAGCCACACGGGAACUGAGACACGGGCCCGACUCCUACGGGAGGCAGCAGUGAGGAAUAUUGGUCAAUGGACGCAAGUCUGAACCAGCCAUGCCGCGUGAAGGAUGAAGGCCUUCUGGGUUGUAAACUUCUUUUAUCUGGGAAGAAAAGCACUGUUUCUACGGUGUCCGACGGUACCAGAGGAAUAAGCACCGGCUAACUCCGUGCCAGCAGCCGCCGUAAGAC